rnacentral:rRNA from 1 species
GAUGAACGCUGGCGGCGUGCCUAAUACAUGCAAGUCGAGCGAACAGACGAGGAGCUUGCUCCUCUGACGUUAGCGGCGGACGGGUGAGUAACACGUGGAUAACCUACCUAUAAGACUGGGAUAACUUCGGGAAACCGGAGCUAAUACCGGAUAAUAUAUUGAACCGCAUGGUUCAAUAGUGAAAGACGGUUUUGCUGUCACUUAUAGAUGGAUCCGCGCCGGAUUAGCUAGUUGGUAAGGUAACGGCUUACCAAGGCAACGAUGCGUAGCCGACCUGAGAGGGUGAUCGGCCACACUGGAACUGAGACACGGUCCAGACUCCUACGGGAGGCAGCAGUAGGGAAUCUUCCGCAAUGGGCGAAAGCUUGACGGAGCAACGCCGCGUGAGUGAUGAAGGUCUUCGGAUCGUAAAACUCUGUUAUUAGGGAAGAACAAAUGUGUAAGUAACUAUGCACGUCUUGACGGUACCUAAUCAGAAAGCCACGGCUAACUACGUG